AUCUAUUUUACUUGAGAACAAGCAAAAGCUAAGUUGGGAGGUGUGAUAAACAUGAGAAUUAAUAUAUUAGAAACCCUAAAUACAUCAUGAAUUAAGUUAAUUAGUUGAGAAUUAAUGCUAUUUAAUUCAUUUUGCAGGUAAUUUGAAGAUUGGGUUCAAUUAGGCUCAAUUUGAUCUAAUUUAGCUUGAACACAAGUUCU
rnacentral:lncRNA from 1 species